UGGGGAAUUUUGGACAAUGGGCGAAAGCCUGAUCCAGCAAUGCCGCGUGUGUGAAGAAGGCCUUCGGGUUGUAAAGCACUUUUGUCCGGAAAGAAAUCCUUGGCUCUAAUACAGUCGGGGGAUGACGGUACCGGAAGAAUAAGCACCGGCUAACUACGUGCCAGCAGCCGCGGUAAUACGUAGGGUGCAAGCGUUAAUCGGAAUUACUGGGCGUAAAGCGUGCGCAGGCGGUUUGCUAAGACCGAUGUGAAAUCCCCGGGCUCAACCUGGGAACUGCAUUGGUGACUGGCAGGCUAGAGUAUGGCAGAGGGGGGUAGAAUUCCACGUGUAGCAGUGAAAUGCGUAGAGAUGUGGAGGAAUACCGAUGGCGAAGGCAGCCCCCUGGGCCAAUACUGACGCUCAUGCACGAAAGCGUGGGGGAGCAAAACAGGAUUAGAUACCCUGGUAGUCCACGCCCUAAACGAUGUCAACUAGUUGUUGGGGAUUCAUUUUCCUAGUAACGUAGCUAACGCGUGAAGUUGACCGCCUGGGGAGUACGGUCGCAAGAUUAAAACUCAAAUGAAUUGAUGGGGUCAUAGCUGUUUCCU
rnacentral:rRNA from 1 species